rnacentral:rRNA from 1 species
GGGAAUCUACCCAUCCCUGCGGAACAACUCCGGGAAACUGGAGCUAAUACCGCAUACGCCCUACGGGGGAAAGAUUUAUCGGGGAUGGAUGAGCCCGCGUUGGAUUAGCUAGUUGGUGGGGUAAAGGCCUACCAAGGCGACGAUCCAUAGCUGGUCUGAGAGGAUGAUCAGCCACAUUGGGACUGAGACACGGCCCAAACUCCUACGGGAGGCAGCAGUGGGGAAUAUUGGACAAUGGGCGCAAGCCUGAUCCAGCCAUGCCGCGUGAGUGAUGAAGGCCUUAGGGUUGUAAAGCUCUUUCACCGAUGAAGAUAAUGACGGUAGUCGGAGAAGAAGCCCCGGCUAACUUCGUGCCAGCAGCCGCGGUAAUACGAAGGGGGCUAGCGUUGUUCGGAAUUACUGGGCGUAAAGCGCACGUAGGCGGAUAUUUAAGUCAGGGGUGAAAUCCCGCAGCUCAACUGCGGAACUGCCUUUGAUACUGGGUAUCUUGAGUAUGGAAGAGGUUAGUGGAAUUGCGAGU